GGGUUGGUUUUGGAUUUGACUUGAAAAUAUGGGUUGGUUUUGAAAAACACCCUAUAAUAAUUGAUAUUAUUGUUAUCUGUAAAAUUAUCAAAAUCAUGUUUUGUAGUUUUUGAUUAUUGAUAUUUAAAAUCAGAACUGAAUUAAAAUGAUUUUAUAUUUUACAAGUCUUUAAAUAAAGUAAUUUGCAAUGUACAAAAGCUCUUUAUUUUAUUUGUGCUAAAAGAGGAACUAAAAAAACUUAAACCAAUUAUAUUUAAUGUAGAAUAAAAUAUUAGCAUAUGGAAAUUUAAGGUGAUUAUAAUGCAAGUAUGUAUUUUGUAAAUAAAUAUAUGUUAUUCUUGAUAUGAGAUAAAUGACAUAAAAAGACAAAAAACUUAUAAACCAUACAUACUGUUCAAUACAUGAAAAGCCUUGGUUUAUUGUCCUGCUACCUAUUUGGUGAAACCUAAAAUGAAAAUUUUAAAUAUAUUAGUCAUUAUAUAUAUACAAGACAAUACUUUUUAAUCGUAGAUCUUUCUGAUCGUAAUUUCCUGAGGUGACCCAAAUUUGUGAUAAGCUGAGCAUCUCUUUGUUCAAUGGUUGGAUCCCCACACGCUUAUUGCAGCCUUUACCCCAAAUUAAAUUAGUAUAUUAGUAAUAUGAAAUUUGUAAAGUAAUAUAUAGAAAUUAAAUUCUAAAGUGUGCCAAAAAAACAUUUUAUACUUUAGAUUUCCUUUCUUUUUACUUUGUUUUACUUCAAAUUUCCUUUAUUUCUACUUUAAUUUUCCUUUCUUUUACUUUUAAAAAUAAUUGUAUUUUUAUAAGUGUUAGACCUAUUUGGCAUGUAAAUCAAUUUGUGAAUUAUAUAAAAGCAAAAAAAAAUUGCAUAUCAUAACCGGCUUUAAAAUAUGUAUUUAAAACCGAAUCAUAUUAAAUUGUAUGUUUCAUAAACAAAUACAUUAGGAAAUAGUCCAUUUUGUAAAAAAUAUCAAAUGAUAAAUGAGUUAUCUAAUAAAUAAUUUCAUUGUUUCAACAUCCAAAAUGAUUAGAAAAGAUCAACAUAGUUUACCAACAAUUAAAAAUAUGAUCACUCAUAAAUUAAAUACUUAGAAUAAAAAAAUAUUUGUGUGGUCGCAAUUAUCAAAAUUUAGUUUUCCCUAAAACAAAGAUCUUAACAUGUUGGUAUUAUCUAACACUACUAAAAGCCCGAUAACAAAGCUUCUGAGUGUGUCCACGUUGGAGUGGAAAAUCGACCAAUAAUAUUACACCAUUCGUCCAUCUCAUCAUCGAUUUGGUUUGAUUGGGCUUCAUCUGGAUUCGGUCUGUUUGGUCUCCAGUUUAAAGCCCAAAUUCAUUUCUGUCUUGAUAGCAAUUGUUAGUCGUAAGUCGUAACCCUACCUACCUUUGUUCUUCUCUUACCUUUCGGCUUCUACAACUUCGAUUUCUUUUCUCUCUGGAACCGUUUCAACCAAUUACUUCACCACUAGCUGUUCUAAUCAAAACUUUUGCUUGAUCUCAUUCUCAUUCAAUAAAUUCUUUUCACCUUCCUCUCCAUUCGUCUAUUUAUAAAGCUCUUCUCAUAUCAUAUGUCUCAGUUAAAAUUGAUAAGAUUCUCUUAGAUAUUUAUCUUGAUGGAACCCAGAGGCAGCUCUACAGACUCCACCGACCGGAAGACGAACAAGAAGACCGUCUCAUCCUCCGCGACUGCCAAACCAGACGGAAAGUCCACUGCUUCCAUUACUGAUUGAGAUAGGGUUUCGAUUUUGACGCUUGAUCUUCGUUUUCAUCAACAGAAACGCUCCCAUUACUGAUUCAUCCCGUUAAUCCUUUUAUUAAAUCCAUCAACCACGAUCUAGCCUUCAAUGCAAGUUUCUUUUGUGAGAAGCAGUGUAUCAGCGAGUAUAUAAAGAAGCUGCGUUUCUCUGGGAGACCAGGAAUGUCACGCGGUGGAGAACUCAUUGGGUUGAUAUGCUCAUGGUGGAUGUAAAUGCCACCAUUAAUUCCAACCGACGACUUGCUCUCAGCAUUCAGCAUUCAAUCUUCAUAAAAGCCACUGUGUACAAGCAUCUUAUCAAGGUGGGUUCAAUUUAUUCCAUAAGCGGUUUUGAUGUGACUCAGAGCAAUCUGAACCUUAAGUUGUCCGUCUCUCCUCUAUCGAUUUGACUCCACCGUUGAAUUUCGUCUCCACUGUCGAGAUAAAAUGGAGAGAUUGCACGAAAGAUACGUUUCUUCAAAGACCAAAUGUCAAAAAAGUUGGAGUAUCUCCCAAAGAGUUCAUAGACAAAGAAGUUUAAAUGGAUUUGGAUGAUGUUGAGGUCGAGCAUGGGGAGCCAGAAGCUGAACUUUACGUAAUCAAGGCUAUUAAUAAAAAGCUGCAACGCUCUUACAAUUAACUUGUGGAUUUUAGGUCUCCUAGCAACUGUUCUUAUACAGGUGAAUCUGCAUCUUGGUUUAGGCUCAGUCUUUAUUUCAGCUCUCACAAUAAGCGUAGGAGAGAGAUAGAGAGAGCACUAAUCAUAUUGACAUCGCUGCAAUAACCCUAUAAACAGUAGGGUCCUUAGUGUCUUACAUGGUAACUCUUGCAAAGGUUUAUUGUUAUGUUCAAGACCAAUGUUACCGCUGAGAGAGCAGAGACUUUGCUCUAUUGUUAUUGUCUCAAACAUCGUUAGAUGAAUUCAAGAUUCUGUAAAUAAGGUAAACAAACAGAAAGCAAAGUUUUUAAGUUUGAUUGUAAUAAGUACUAAACACUAACCAGAGUAAUAUUAUUGAUGUUGUGUUUGCAGGAUGUUAUAAAAGCUAGGAUGGAGAUCUGUUCAAGAGUACUUCAAGGUUUAGCUUUCAACACUGUUGUGUGAAAUGAUGCUGUUAUCUUUGUAGAAAAAAGUACGAGACGUACUGAAUGACUUCUUACAGGUUUUACACGUAGUGAAUGACUUCUUAUAGGUUUUAGUUUUACGGUUUACUUCUAUGUUUGUUCUUUUCCUUCUGUUCUCUUAUAUCUCAUGUAAAUUUAGUCAGAUAAAAACCAAUGUAAAAUCUAGAAAUAAUGUAUUUUUUUUGCUCAAGUUUUGUAUAUAGUAAGCAAAGAAAGAAGAAUGUUCAUCAAGAAAAAAAUUUACAUUAUAAAUCUCAAUGGGGAUAAUAAUAUUAGUAAUCUAAUUAGUUAUCUAAUUUCUGAUUCAAUAUUAUAUAAAACAAAUUACGUCAGGGUGGUGUGGCCAAACUACACCAAACUACAAAAUCUGAAAAGGCCACAGACUCAUAGACUUCAUGUUUCAUUCGUGUGAUGUUCUCCUGAGUUAUAGAUUGCUUGUACAUACUUCUCUUACUCUCUUUCUUAAGUUAAUCAAUAAAAAGAGAUGAAGCUGGAAAAAAUAUGAAGCUGGUGGUUGAGCUGCAGAAACAAGAUGUACAACUUGAGAGGAGAAGACGCAUAAUGUAAGAGGUGUAUCAACAAAAGAUGUGACUGAGUUGCAGAGACCUAAAUCUUAAUAUAAAUUUGAAAUUUGAAAUAAACAUAAAUUAAGAUAAAAAUAAUUUUGUUUAUCUAAAAUUAUUUUAAAUAAUAUAUAUAUAUAUACAUAUAUACUUAAAAUUAUAAUCUUAUAUAAUUUUUCUUAUCUAUUUAUUUUGGUUAAAUAUAUUAAAAUAAUUGUAUAAAUUAAUAAAGUUUUGAUAUAAAAAUUAUAUAAUUAUCAGAAUUAAAACUAAACAGUAUUGAUGAAAUUUGUAGACAUAAAAGAGAAUUUUAAAUUUAAAUUUGUUUAAAAAUCAUAGAAACUUUUUGAAAAUUUUAGUGAUAAGGUUUUUAUGGCUGUUACUAUAUUCUAAAAAGUUGCCAAAAAUAAAUACCAAUAUUAAAUAUAAUAUAUGUGUUAUUACCAUAUUUAAAAAGUUUACAAAAAUAUAAAUCAGCAUAAAUAUAAUUGUACAUAUCAUAUUUAGCUCUAAGUCAUGUCAUCAAUUUAGUAACUAUGUCAUAUUUUUUGGUGAAAUUAAUUAUGGAGAUGGCAUAUGACAAAUCACUUCUCAAAUCUAGCCUGGGGUAUAUUUAUAUAAAUAAAUCAUAUUUAUAGUUAAAAAGUGUUCAUUUAUAUUGCAUUACAUAAAUUAGUAAAGUGAAUCAUUUGAAGCACACAAAUAAUUUUAUUUAUAUGAUUAGUAUAUAUCUUUAGUAUUAUUUUUUGUCUGAAAUAUAUAGGUUUUUUUUUGAAACAAACCAAAAUAAGCUAAAUACAGAUCUAUAUAUGGGGUUUCAAUAAAUACACAAAUACAAUUAGAUAACUAAAUAAACACAAUCCCAAUAUAAAAAUAUUAGCAAACUAAAAGAUAUAUAAAAAUAAUGAGCCAGUUUUUAAAUAAGUAUAUCGACAGAAUAAUAAAUUUCAACGAGUAAGCCUUUCAAACUGAAAAUUAACUAAGCAGUUUUCAUUAAUUGAGUAAAAAUUUAUAAUACCAUUAUUUGAUUAUAGUCAAGUUAGAACAAAUAAUAAACUGUAAUUACAAAAAAAAAAUAGUGAGAUGACGACGACGAUGAGCUGUUGAAAUCAUCUCCGACGACUAAGGAAAUUGUAAUUCUCACUGUCGACAAAACGAGCUGUUAAUCGGUAUGUUUCAAUCUUCUUAUCAAUAGUUUUUGAAGAAAACUGUAAUUAUUCUUUGUUGUUUGAAUCCAAUAUGAAGUGAAGAAUCAGAAUUACAAAUUAAAUAGAAAUUUUAGGAAGCUUUCCUUUACGACUUACGGAUAAAGAUGAACUCAUAAUUACCUUACUUUUUGGAGAAAAAAAAUAUAGUUUCUAAAAUAAAAUUUCAAAUUUUGUUCUUUCUAUACAAUGUCCACAUGGUACUUAAUAGUAUAAGUAUGUUCUUUAAAUAAAAUAUCAACUUAACUAAAUGUUUAAAUUCCAAAUAAAUUAACUUUUUUUGACUAAUGACUUUUUAUUCUACUUUUGUUGUAGAUUAGUCACAACCACUUAUGUUAUUCCACUUUGGACUAAUCAAUUACAAAAUAAAGUAAUACACUAUUGUUGCUAACCAAUGUCAAAUAUAUCGAAAAUUUUUUGUUUUUUUUAAAUAUUUUCAUUUUUAUAUUUUUGAACAUAUUUUGAACUAAAAAUAUUAAAUAAAUUAUAAAUUCAUGUAAAAUUUAAAAAUACGAACCCACAACUCAAAAUAUUACAAACCACAAAUAACGCACACAGUGUGAGAUCAAUAUUUUGUAAAAGAAAACAAGAUGAAGAUCAUUAGAAGCUCUCACAGCAUAUCAAAGCCAUAUUCCUUAAAUAUAAAAACAUCUAUUGGUUUUUUGGACAACGAAAACAACUAUUGAAAACAAUCAAAAGAUAACUUAUCACACAUAAUCUCUUCUCAUCUAAAAUUUUCUAUAAGACAAAAAUUAUUAUCAUAAACAUUUCUUUCAAAU